CCUUCGGGAUGAUCCUAGCGGCGGACGGGUGAGUAACACGUGGGCAACCUGCCUCAUAGAGAGGAAUAGCCUUCCGAAAGGGAGAUUAAUACCUCAUAACAUUGCAGUUUCGCAUGGAACAGCAAUUAAAGGAGUAAUCCGCUAUGAGAUGGGCCCGCGGCGCAUUAGCUAGUUGGUGAGGUAAUGGCUCACCAAGGCGACGAUGCGUAGCCGACCUGAGAGGGUGAUCGGCCACAUUGGGACUGAGACACGGCCCAGACUCCUACGGGAGGCAGCAGUGGGGAAUAUUGCACAAUGGGGGAAACCCUGAUGCCAGCAACGCCGCGUGAGUGAUGACGGCCUUCGGGUUGUAAAGCUCUGUCUUCAGGGACGAUAAUGACGGUACCUGAGGAGGAAGCCACGGCUAACUACGUGCCAGCCGCCGC
rnacentral:rRNA from 1 species